rnacentral:rRNA from 1 species
UACGUAGGGGGCAAGCGUUGUCCGGAUUUAUUGGGCGUAAAAGGCUUGUAGGUGGCCACGCCAAGUCGGAUGUGAAAUCUCCCGGCUCAACUGGGAGGGGUCAUUCGAUACUGGCGGGCUCGAGGCCGGUAGGGGGAAGUGGAAUUCCCGGUGUAGUGGUGGAAUGCGUAGAUAUCGGGAGGAACACCAGUGGCGAAGGCGGCUUCCUGGACCGGUUCUGACACUGAGGAGCGAAAGCGUGGGGAUCAAACAGG